rnacentral:lncRNA from 1 species
CGUGAUCUCGGCUCAUUGCAACCUCCGCCUCCUGGGUUCAAGCAAUUCUCCUGCCUCAGCCUCCUGAGUAGCUGGGAUUACAGGCGCCCGCCACCACUCCCAGCUAAUUUUUGUAUUUUUAGUAGGGACGAGGUUUCACCAUGUUGGUCAGGCUGGUCUCAAACUCCUGACCUCGUGAUCUGCCCUCCUUGGCCUUCCAAAGUGCUGGGAUUACAGGCGUGAUGGAGAUGAUACUCCCUAAAUCACAAGGGUGUGGUGUGAAGAUGAAAUGGCUGCACGUGACAGAGGAGUUGGAGAACAGGAAGCAAGUGGAUUACUUGGAUGAACUGUGAUGGGCCCAAGAAGAACUAAGCCAAUCACUCCAGGGGGCGUUUUCCCAGGAUCCAGGCAGAGAGCUGAUUCCAGCAUCCACGUUGUAUCCCCCUCCCGCUGUGGCCGGGGUCUCCAAGAGCCGGGCACCCACUGCAGAGCUUCCAAGCCCAGGCCCAUUUGAACACAGGAGGACUUUUGAGGUUCAUUUAACCCCAAAAUCAGUGAUUCUACAUCUCAAGCUCAUAUUUUGAAGUGUUUACGGACCAGGGAUUUGCCAAUUAUUCUGGAUGGGCACAGGGAAGGGGCCCUCAGAUCCUGCAGAGGGAGCAUCUGAAAGACAAUGAGACCCUGUACACAACCAAGCUGAGCCUCCUGUAAGCACAUCCUCUGGGUGUCACUAUGCGAAAAGACUCUUUGUCUGUUUACAUUGCACAACGAAUUGUCCCUCUGAUUGUCCUAGCGUUGGUGCAUGCAUGGAUCCAGGAAGAGCAGGUAUUUGGACCCAACGAGACAGGUUCAUCUUGGCAGUUUGUCUCCUGUGGUUGCUUUGUGCCUGCCCCGUAUCUAUCCACCCAACUUCUGGCAGCAAUCCCUCCAGGACCCACCUCUGUCUUCAUGGUUUGUGUGUUCUGAUCCUGCUCCUUGGCCCCAGAAUACACCCUCCACAUCUAAGCUAUGCAGUGCCUCAUCCCCACAGCUGCAGCGAUUGGUUUAGGAAUGGGAAAAUAAUCCAAUCAAAGUAAGAUUGUCUAAUAUCUGAUCCCGCUUACCCCGGAGCCAGAAGUCCCACCUUUCCAGGCUCCUCCAUGUUCCUUUCUGGAGCAAUGAGGAGGAAGGUUCAUUCCCUUCUCAGGGAACUUGCUGCGGUGUCCCAGUCCUGACUGUCCCCUCUCUACCCCUGCCUGUGGCUCUCCCGUCUCCUGGCAUUCUAACCUGCCACUGAAUUCUUCCCACGCCAAACGCAGGUUAGGAACCUAAGCUCGGAUGAAAUGCUGGCUUAGACCUCAUUGCUACUGAGAAGCAGAAACCACACUUUUUAGUUGGUAGAGGUGGAUGUGGAUUGGGGCCAUAAAGUUUCCUCAAUCAUUGAAUAAGGAUUUCAUUAUUUGGACUAACUAAAUACAUUAGAUUAUUUAUACUAACUAAAUAAAUUAGAUUUAUUUUUCGAAGUUUAAAAUCAUUUUCAAUAGUGACGAAAAAGGCUGUAGAUGAGAUGGGAGAAUCUUUCGACGCCAAAUUCUUCCCAUCUCCUGCCUAGUAUGUAUCACUACACCUUGCCCAGAGAGACUGUAGGGGUGCUCAGCAAAAACCAUGGCUGGUUGAUUCCCUGGAAAAAGGGGUGCUGUCCCAGGGAGCUCUGUGCCCUUCCUGCCAACACUGGGGUCUAGAGGAGGCAAGUUCCCCUCUGAAGCUGCCUUUGUGAUCCCGCGCCCCGGUCCUCGGCCUCUCACCUCCAGCGCCGGGGCGCCCCCUGCUGUCGGAAGCGGCUGUGACCGGGCAGAGGUGCUAUCUGGGACUCUGGGUUCUCAGCCCGGGGACAGCGAACCGAGGGGCAGAUGAUCCAUCAGAAAAGAGCCGGCACUGCCCAGCCCCGCGCCCCUGCCCCUGCCUUUUUCCGGGAGCGCGCCGCGCCGCACCCGCUACGGCCGCUUGACCCCAUCUUUGAGCCCGGCCCCAAGCUCUGGGACCGUCGUGCCCCUCAUCAAGGAAGAGCCAAGGACCCCAAGGAGAAGAGAAAGGAGUUCAUGAAGGCAGAAAUGCCUGGGGCCCACGAACAUCCCAGUGUGGCCCUGGACGGGACAUCAUGCUGGGCAACACAGCUAAAAUGCGGGUGAAGACCAGAUUUCUUGCACAUGGCGGUGACGGGAUGCUCCCUAGAGAGCUUCAAGUGGAUUCUUUGCUUUUUAUUUUCUCUCUUAAUAAAAAUGUAUGAUGUUUACAUUGUCAGAGAACAAACAGAA